rnacentral:rRNA from 1 species
CGGGUGUUAGUAGAGUGGCAAACGGGUGAGUAACGCGUGGGAAUCUACCUUAUAGUACGGAAUAGCCUCGGGAAACUGGGAUUAAUACCGUAUACGCCCUUCGGGGGAAAGAUUUAUCGCUAUAAGAUGAGCCCGCGUAAGAUUAGCUAGUUGGUGGGGUAAAAGCCUACCAAGGCGACGAUCUUUAGCUGGUCUGAGAGGACGAUCAGCCACACUGGGACUGAGACACGGCCCAGACUCC